UACGUAGGGUGCGAGCGUUAAUCGGAAUUACUGGGCGUAAAGCGUGCGCAGGCGGUUUGGUAAGACAGAUGUGAAAUCCCUGGGCUCAACCUAGGAAUUGCAUUUGUGACUGCCCGGCUAGAGUGUGUCAGAGGGGGGUAGAAUUCCACGUGUAGCAGUGAAAUGCGUAGAGAUGUGGAGGAAUACCGAUGGCGAAGGCAGCCCCCUGGGAUAACACUGACGCUCAUGCACGAAAGCGUGGGGAGCAAACAGGAUUAGAGUACCCU
rnacentral:rRNA from 1 species